CAUAAAGCAACAUAAACAUGAAGGAAACAUUAGAACCCAUUAUGACCCACAAAUACCAAUUUUUAGAGAUAUUUGUGGGAAAAUAUCGAAUUUCGGGAGGUACCACUAUAUGGGGCUAUACAAAAACGUGGACCUAUACAUACAAUGUUUCGCCAACGGAGCUAAAACCUAUUAGGACACACAAAUACCAAUUUUUAGACAAAUGCGUGGAGAAAUGUGACAAAAAUCCUCAAAAUACCCAAUAUCGGGAGGUACCAUUAUAUGGGGGCUAUACCAAAGCGUGGACCCAUAUAUACAAUAUUUCGCUACACAAACUAAGACCCAUUAUGACCUACAAAUACCAAUUUUCAGACAAAUCCGUAAAAAAGUAUGGCAAAAAUCAACAAAUUACCGAAUAUCGGGAGGUACCAUUAUAUGGGGGCUAUACCAAAUCGUGAACCUAUACAAGCAAUCUUUCGCCACCGGAACUGGAACCCAAUAUGACUAACAAAUACGAAUUUUUAGAGAAAUACAUGAAAAAAUGUGGCAAAAAUCGUCAAAAUACCAAAAAUCGGGAGAUACUGUUAUAUAAGGGCUAUAUCAAAGCGUUAACCCAUAUAUACAAUAUUUUGCCACACAAACAAGGACCCAUUAUGACCUACGAAUAACAAUUUUCAGAACAAUCCGUGAAAAAAAUGUGGCAAAAAUCAUCAAAAUACCGAAUAAUCGGGAAAUACCGUUGUGUGGGGGCUAUACCAAAACGUGGACCGAUAUAUCUCAUUUUCAAUACCAACCAUCCUAGACGCAAUACAAAUUGGUUUGCAAAAUUUUAACGCUCUACGUCAAAUAAUGUGGGCUGUAUCGUGAUUUCAACAGACAGACAGACAGGCGGACAGACAGACGGACAUCGUUAAAUUGACUUGGAAUUUUAUGCUGAUUAUGAAUAUAUAUUAUACGAAUAUUUAAGGAUGUUACAAAGGGAAUGGCAAUGUUAAUUUACCCUCCUUUCCAAGGUGAAGGGUAUAAUAAAAUGGCCUUUCCAAAGCAAAUGUCUUGUAUUUAAGGUUUAGGUUUAAUUAUAAAGGAAUAUCAGAGUCGCAUACCAAUUCUGGCGUCGUUUUCCCUUACCAUUUGACAUUAAUAUGCUAUGCAACGAUGACAAGCUGCUUAUGUAUCCCCACUUUAGGAUAAAAUUGAAAAAAAAAAAAAAAAAACAAAUAAAAAAGCUGUAAGUUCGGCCGGGCCGAACUUUGAAUACCCUCCAUCAUUUGGAACGAAUUUGGCAAUUCUCAAAAACAAUAAAAUCCGUUAAAACUUCUGUUAAAAUCUUAAAAAUACCGAAUGUAGCCAUUUUAUUAGGGCCUAUACGACGACAUGAACCUGCGUAGGUAACAUUUGUCAUAAGCCAUUACAAUAUUCAAAUGCGAAACUGAAACAAAAAAAAGCGAAUAUACAGGCAUGUCACAGAAGUUUUACGAAAUCGAUUUAUUUCACCUUUUCCAAAUCGUUACGAUUUGCUUUUGCUUCUUCAGCACUCGUACGUUUUGACUAAUCCGGAAAAAAAAUCAUUUCACAUUUUUGAAAUAAAAAUAUGGUAACUCCAUGAAAAAAAAAGUCGUAAACAAAUUAUUGACAAUUAAAAAAGGAGUUUAAAUUGUUUUUUAUAAUAUAAACACCAAAAGUAAAAAUGCAAGGGGCUUCAAUACUUGCUGUAAUGGAUGAAGAAAUAAAUCAGCGGUCUACUGAAAAAAUUCGUCGCCGGACAUUGAGGAACGCAUCAGAUCCUUUAUCUCACUCAAAUGCAUAAUUUAUAACUUAUUAUCGGCUAAAUAAAGAAGCUUUUGUUUUAGUUUUGGAACAAAAUUUCUCCCCACCUCAAACGUUCCAAUAUAUCGGCUAUUAUCCAGCUUGCAACAACGCUUAGGUUUUUGGCUACGGGUGCAUUUCAAGGAGUUAUAGGUAGAAAUGUGGAGCUAAGCCUUGGGAGAAGUACAGUUUCUACAAUUAUGUGGAGAGUUAUUAAUGCAAUUGAAGCUGAAAUUUGUCCACAUUGGAUCAAAUUAAGAAUGUCUUCCGAAGAAAAAAGAAAGUCGAAAUUGUACUUUUUUGCUUUUUGGUCUGUCAGUUGUACAUUUCUACACCUUCUUCUUCAACACAUAUGGCAAUAAUUCAACAAUACAAGUCUGCCGUUCAUUUCUGCAUA